ACAUGUAGUUUAUAGCCUAAGUUAGAUACUUUUUUUUUUUAUCAUGCUUGACGAUUCCUUUUAUGACAAAAAAAUUAAGGUUCUGUCUCUCUCAAUGGGUAGUUUCUACACAUUAUAGAAGAUUAGUGUUAUUUUGAGUUAUGCUGGAAUGUUGAAAGGGGAAGACAGAUAUUAUUGCUAGUAUAUAUGCAGAAUACAAUACCUUUGUUUGUUCCCACAUUAUAUUUUAUCCUUGGGUAUCAUAGAGAACAAUAUCUAAUAUGUCACAGUUGUUCUGAGUUGUAUCUGGGCAAUGUGUUGAGCUGGUCCUUAAGUUUAGAAUGGUCAAUGAAAUAACAACAAUUAUUAAAGCAUAUUUGACCUGUACGUAUAUUCUCUUUUAGUUAUGCCUACUAAUUAUUUCCUUAGAUCAAGUUUUCUUAAAUCUUGGGUCUACUGUUUCUGGAAUUUCUUAGGGAAGGCAUCUUUUAUCCAUCAAACUUAAUAGUCCUCGUGAGACAUGCGAUAGUGCAGAAAUAAUCAUUUUUAUGAUGAUCUCGAAGGGUCAGGCUGAAGUCAACAAAAAAUGUAUUAAACAUUUCUAAGCUAAAAAAAAAUGAUCUAUCUGCUGGAUGUUUAGAACAUGAAACUUGCAAAGUCUCCUUCGCACCUGAUAAAGGAUUUGUAGAUGCAUCUGCAAAUUUGUCUCCAGAGUUAUGUGUUGAAGAUCAUAGUACACUUGGAAGCCUUGGAUUGUCUAUUGAAAGGUCCUUUGAAGCAUUCCAUCCACUUCAAACAGGUAAUAUCAGUUCUAAUAACAUCAUUUCAGAUGGUGAAGCUGUGGCUGCCGCAUCUCGGAGACCAGCUUCCUUGCCUUUAGAACCUACUCAUGUAAGAGCGGGAGGUGAUCUGAAGUCAUGUGAUCCUGCCGUUCUUAUUUUAGAUGAAAAUAAGGAUGUGGAAGAGCCCUCAAAAGCCAAGGAACAACUUGAGAAUAUUUUUGUUCCUGAUGACUCUCAUAUUCCUGUUUCUACAGCAAUGAAGCAUGAUGGUCCCUUCUUAUAUUGAUCAAGGGCCGAAGAGACCAUCACCCCCAUACGAAGCCAAUCCUGUUCGAAGAUGGCUGGAAUUACUCAAGUAUUUCUAUAAAAUCCUACACCAAUGCAAUUCAGAGAUAAAUGCUUGAUUUGGCUUUUGCUUGUGAAUAAUCCAGUUCAUAGAAUCGCAAUGAGAGAGAUGACUGGCUAUUGUUUUUUUAGUGGCUUGCCCCAUUAUACAUCUUCUGUGCUUCAGCUAUGUAUAUGUUAUUUGCUUUCUCUUGGUAUUUCAGUAGUCAGCUGCAGCCUCCAAAUCUUUCAGAUAAUUUGAAGGUUAGGAUUGAUGGUCUUGUAGUUUGUUGUAAAUUAUUGUAUCAGGUCCAUGCCUUUAUUUGUUGGCAAAUCAUUGGAUUUCUGAUUACAUUCAGUAAUCAAACCAGCAAUAGUUUCUUAUCACUUAAUGUAGCAAGUUUGAGUUGCCUA